CAGUCGCCGCGGGAAUACGAAGGGUGCAAGCGUUACUCGGAAUUACUGGGCGUAAAGCGUGUGUAGGUGGUUGUUUAAGUCUGUCGUGAAAGCCCUGGGCUCAACCUGGGAAUUGCGAUGGAUACUGGGCGACUAGAGUGCGGUAGAGGAUAGUGGAAUUUCCGGUGUAGCAGUGAAAUGCGUAGAGAUCGGAAGGAACAUCUGUGGCGAAGGCGACUAUCUGGGCCAACACUGACACUGAGACACGAAAGCGUGGGGAGCAAACAGGAUUAGAUACCCCGUAGUCCCUGUCUCUUAUACA
rnacentral:rRNA from 1 species